rnacentral:rRNA from 1 species
CACGUAGGCGGAUCUUUAAGUCAGAGGUGAAAGCCUGGAGCUCAACUCCAGAACUGCCUUUGAUACUGAGGAUCUCGAGUCCGGGAGAGGUGAGUGGAACUGCGAGUGUAGAGGUGAAAUUCGUAGAUAUUCGCAAGAACACCAGUGGCGAAGGCGGCUCACUGGCCCGGUACUGACGCUGAGGUGCGAAAGCGUGGGGAGCAAACA